rnacentral:rRNA from 1 species
CCUACGGGAGGCAGCAGUAGGGAAUAUUGGACAAUGGGCGAAAGCCUGAUCCAGCCAUGCCGCGUGAUAGAUGAAGGCCCUCUGGGUUGUAAAUAUCUUUUAUCUGGGAAGAAACAAUCUUAUUCUUAAGAUCUUGACGGUACCAGAGGAAUAAGCACCGGCUAACUCCGUGCCAGCAGCCGCGGUAAUACGGAGGGUGCAAGCGUUAUCCGGAGUAACUGGGUUUAAGGCGGGCGUAGGAGUCAGUGGUGAAAGCUCCGAGCUUAACUGUGAAACUGCCAUUGAUACUGCCAGUCUUGAAUGUCGUAGAGGUAAGCGGAAUGUUGCAUGUAGCGGUGAAAUGCUUAGAUAUGUUACAGAACACCAAUUGCGAAGGCAGCUUACUAUGCGAUGAUUGACGCUGAGGCACGAAAGCGUGGGGAGCAAACAGGAUUAGAUACCCCAGUAGUC